rnacentral:rRNA from 1 species
GGGGUGAGGACAGUGUCUGGUGGGUAGUUUGACUGGGGCGGUCUCCUCCCAAAGAGUAACGGAGGAGCACGAAGGUUAGCUAAUCACGGUCGGACAUCGUGAGGUUAGUGCAAAGGCAUAAGCUAGCUUGACUGCGAGAGUGACGGCUCGAGCAGGUACGAAAGUAGGUCUUAGUGAUCCGGUGGUUCUGAAUGGAAGGGCCAUCGCUCAACGGAUAAAAGGUACUCCGGGGAUAACAGGCUGAUACCGCCCAAGAGUUCAUAUCGACGGCGGUGUUUGGCACCUCGAUGUCGGCUCAUCACAUCCUGGGGCUGAAGUAGGUCCCAAGGGUAUGGCUGUUCGCCAUUUAAAGUGGUACGCGAGCUGGGUUUAGAACGUCGUGAGACAGUUCGGUCCCUAUCUGCCGUGGGCGUUGGAAGAUUGAGAGGGGUUGCUCCUAGUACGAGAGGACCGGAGUGAACGCACCACUGGUGUUCGGGUUGUCAUGCCAAUGGCAUUGCCCGGUAGCUAAGUGCGGAAAAGAUAAGCGCUGAAAGCAUCUAAGCGCGAAACUUGCCUCAAGAUGAGUCUUCCCUGG